rnacentral:rRNA from 1 species
UGAGGAACAUGACCUUCGGCGGGGGAGUAGCCGGCCCAACGGCCGGGUAAUACCGCGUACGACCACAUGGGGACAUCCCUAAGUGGUGAAAGCAGCAAUGCGCCGAUGGAGUGCCUCGCGGCCUAUCAGCUAGUUGGUGAGGUAACGGCUCACCAAGGCGACGACGGGUAGCUGGUCUGAGAGGAUGGCCAGCCACAGUUGGGACUGAGACACGGCCCAGCUCCGUAGGGACG